rnacentral:pre_miRNA from 1 species
AUCAUAUUUGGUAGCCAAGGAUGACUUGCCUGUUUCUUUGAGUAAAAUGGUUAUAGCAUCAUGAUUGACAAAUGAUGUACUAUAACUCUAUAAGUUAUAUCAAGUAAUGACCAUUUUACUCAUCAAAAGACAUCAGGCAGUCUCCUUGGCUAUCCUUAUAUGUUCU